GUCACCAUUGGGUCGUUGGGUCACCAUUGGUUCACUACUGGGUCAUUGGGUCACCAUUGAGUCACUAUUGAGUCACUAUUGGGUCAUUGGGUCACUUUGAGGCAAUAUUGGUUCACCAUUGGUUCACUAUUGGGUCACUGGGGCACCAUUGGGUCAUUGGAGCACUUUGGGGCACUAUUGGGUUAUUGGGUCACUUUGGGGCACCAUUGGUUCACCAUUGGGUCAUUGGGUCACUAUUGGGUCACCAUUGUGUCUCUUUGGGUCACUAUCGGGUCACUAUUGGAUCUUUGGGUCACUAUUGGGUCUCUUUGGGUCACUAUCGGGUCACUAUUGGGUCACUAUUAGGUCACUACUGGGUCUCCAUUGUGUUACUUUGGGUCACUAUUGGGUCACUAUUGGGUCACUGGGUCACCAUUUUGUCUCUUUG
rnacentral:lncRNA from 1 species